rnacentral:rRNA from 1 species
AACGAACGCUGGCGGCAUGCCUAACACAUGCAAGUCGAACGAGACCUUCGGGUCUAGUGGCGCACGGGUGCGUAACGCGUGGGAAUCUGCCCUUGGGUUCGGAAUAACUUCGGGAAACUGAAGCUAAUACCGGAUGAUGACGUAAGUCCAAAGAUUUAUCGCCCAAGGAUGAGCCCGCGUAGGAUUAGCUAGUUGGUGAGGUAAAGGCUCACCAAGGCGACGAUCCUUAGCUGGUCUGAGAGGAUGAUCAGCCACACUGGGACUGAGACACGGCCCAGACUCCUACGGGAGGCAGCAGUGGGGAAUAUUGGACAAUGGGCGAAGCCUGAUCCAGCAAUGCCGCGUGAGUGAUGAAGGCUUAGGGUUGUAAAGCUCUUUA